rnacentral:rRNA from 1 species
ACGAACGCUGGCGGCGUGCUUAACACAUGCAAGUCGAACGGUGAAGCGCCUUCCUUUUUGGUGGGUGUGGAUGAGUGGCAAACGGGUGAGUAACACGUGAGUAACCUGCCCCCUUCUUCUGGAUAACCGCAUGAAAGUGUGGCUAAUACGGGAUAUUCUGGGUCUGUCGCAUGAUGGGUCUGGGAAAGAUAUUGUUUCGGUGGGGGAUGGGCUCGCGGCCUAUCAGCUUGUUGGUGGGGUGAUGGCCUACCAAGGCGGUGACGGGUAGCCGGCCUGAGAGGGUGGACGGUCACACUGGGACUGAGACACGGCCCAGACUCCUACGGGAGGCAGCAGUGGGGAAUAUUGCACAAUGGGCGCAAGCCUGAUGCAGCGACGCCGCGUGAGGGAUGGAGGCCUUCGGGUUGUGAACCUCUUUCGCCAGUGAAGCAGGCCUGCCUCGUUUGUGGGUGGGUUGACGGUAGCUGGAUAAGAAGCGCCGGCUAACUACGUG